GAUGAACGCUGGCGGCGUGCUUAACACAUGCAAGUCGAGCGAUGAAGUUUCCUUCGGGAAACGGAUUAGCGGCGGACGGGUGAGUAACACGUGGGUAACCUGCCUCAUAGAGUGGAAUAGCCUUCCGAAAGGAAGAUUAAUACCGCAUAAUGUUGAAAGAUGGCAUCAUCAUUCAACCAAAGGAGCAAUCCGCUAUGAGAUGGACCCGCGGCGCAUUAGCUAGUUGGUGGGGUAACGGCCUACCAAGGCGACGAUGCGUAGCCGACCUGAGAGGGUGAUCGGCCACAUUGGGACUGAGACACGGCCCAG
rnacentral:rRNA from 1 species